ACCUGCGGAAGGAUCAUUACCGAGUGCGGGUCCUUUGGGCCCAACCUCCCAUCCGUGUCUAUUGUACCCUGUUGCUUCGGCGGGCCCGCCGCUUGUCGGCCGCCGGGGGGGCGCCUCUGCCCCCCGGGCCCGUGCCCGCCGGAGACCCCAACACGAACACUGUCUGAAAGCGUGCAGUCUGAGUUGAUUGAAUGCAAUCAGUUAAAACUUUCAACAAUGGAUCUCUUGGUUCCGGCAUCGAUGAAGAACGCAGCGAAAUGCGAUAACUAAUGUGAAUUGCAGAAUUCAGUGAAUCAUCGAGUCUUUGAACGCACAUUGCGCCCCCUGGUAUUCCGGGGGGCAUGCCUGUCCGAGCGUCAUUGCUGCCCUCAAGCCCGGCUUGUGUGUUGGGUCGCCGUCCCCCUCUCCGGGGGGACGGGCCCGAAAGGCAGCGGCGGCACCGCGUCCGAUCCUCGAGCGUAUGGGGCUUUGUCACAUGCUCUGUAGGAUUGGCCGGCGCCUGCCGACGUUUUCCAACCAUUCUUUCCAGGUUGACCUCGGAUCAGGUAGGGAUACCCGCUGAACUUAAGCAUAUCAAUAA
rnacentral:rRNA from 1 species